ACCUUUUAUUAUACCAUUAUAAGCAUGCCAUUCUGUAACAUAACAAUAUCACACUGAGGCACACCAUAGGACAUUUUUGGUGAGAUGUUCAAAUGAAAACUAUAAAUUUUUAUACCCAUGGUAUUACCCUACCAACCGCACUCACGUAGGCAUUACUUCUGCCAGACCCUGUAUUUGUAACGAUAUAU